rfam:Aedes albopictus isolate Foshan contig6482, whole genome shotgun sequence.
UAGCCUAGUGGUUAUGGCUAUGGAUCGUCAAUCCGGAGACGGCGGGUUCGAUUCCCGU